rnacentral:rRNA from 1 species
GGGAAAAAUUGGGCCAUGGGCCCAAGCCUGAUCCAGCCAUACCGCGUGGGUGAAGAAGGCCUUCGGGUUGGAAAGCCCUUUUGCUGGGAAAGAAAAGCAUUCGGUUAAUACCCGAUUGCUCUGACGGUACUCAAAGAAUAAGCACCGGCUAACCUUGUGCCAGCAGCCGCGGUAAUACGAAGGGUGCAAGCGUUACUCGGAAUUACUGGGCGUAAAGCGUGCGUAGGUGGUUGUUUAAGUCUGUCGUGAAAGCCCUGGGCUCAACCUGGGAAUUGCGAUGGAAACUGGGCGACUAGAGUGUGGCAGAGGGUGGUGGAAUUUCCUGUGUAGCGGUGAAAUGCGUAGAUAUAGGAAGGAACACCAGUGGCGAAGGCGACCACCUGGGCUAAUACUGACACUGAGGUGCGAAAGCGUGGGGAGCAAACA